rnacentral:lncRNA from 1 species
UCGAAAAUACGCAUCGAAGAGAUCCACUUUCGUCAAUUGGUUCUACACCGACGCAAUCGCCACCGUCGGAUUGCGAUUCGCGGAAAAUUAGACCAUGGAAUCAAUCGAGACCUCCGCGCGCUCAGGCUGCCGUACGCGUGAGUAGAGCCGGGAAUAAUCAGAAAACCACGAAUUCGAAGGACCAAGGUUUCGAUGCCUUAGAGAACGACGACGGGGAUUUGGUAGUCCUUCCUUCUUCUCCGCUGAGGAGGAAAAUCAGAAGAUGACGGAGACACUGACAGAUGGUCGUUAUACAUUUCGUAGGGAUAUUAAGGAUUCUCACAUACCGUUCAUCGCGUAUCGUGCGGUCAGAAAUCAUUUGAUUUUAUUAUUUAAAUUUAAACACAAAUAAUAUCUGACGAAAAUGUUUUUCACAUGUUUGUUUCCCUUUGCUGCACAGUUAAAUGAAGGGUUUGCCCAGCUUGCCCACGCGUCCAUCAUGGCUGGUCCUUCUUCUCCGAUUUCUUCUUGGCUUUUUCUUUCCGUUCGCUUCUCUCUCUCCAUUCCCACCUUCUGCUUAUUUUCAAACCUACUUAAAACUAAAGUUUUACAUUUAGAAUAAUAAGAAACAAUUUACAUAACAUAUAAUUGGUCUAAUACACAUAUUAUUCAAAUACCCAAUCAGUUUAUCAUUGGUCUUACUCUAUUAUACACAUUAGUCUAUCUGAUUACAAAACUAAUUGUAUAAACUACCAAGUGAAGUUGCAUUCCAUAACAUAUAUACCCAACAGACCCAACAAUGCUCGGGUUUUCCAUAACUUUUAUACACGUUAAUUUAGUUUCAUAUUUAAUGUUUCAGAAUCAUUUUGAUACCCAUAAACACACUGUAUGAGUUAUCAAAGCUACUUCAAAUCACAAAGAAAGAACUAUGCACAAGUGGGAGAGUACCAGUGCACCUUAAAUGCUUCCUUGAUAGCCAACUUAGAUUUUUGCAGAGGUGAAACAAAGUCUAUGUGCUCGAGUAUUUUCGUCUUAUGGGUUUCAGGGUGAUGGUCCUCUCAUGCUGCAUAUAUUGGGUUGAAUCUCUUGGAGGGAAACUCAAAUUUUAGGUACUAAACUUCCCGAACUUGCUCCAACCUAUGGGGCAAAUAUGAGUUUUAACCCAAAACUCAUUUGUGGGGCAAAUUUAGCUCAGGAUUCCCCUUGGGUUAGGAGAAAAUUUUCAUUGUGACCAGAACACGAGUAAUACUUUUAUAUAAGUGGUGGGAAAUUGUAUUUUUUAAGUUCUUAACUUUUUAACACACAUAUCUCACCAUUUGUAUAGUGACACGUGGUGUACCACCUUGUGUACUGAUCACAUUGAAAAAUCUAUCCUGGGUUAGUGGGGCUAGCCCACCAUAUAUGUGUGUUUUUUUUAGUUUUAUAUUUAUAAAUUUAUUGAAUCCAACGACUAAGAUCUAAUAUGAUUAAAUCCAACGGUAAAAGAAAAUAUCUAAUGAUCCAAAUUUAAAUCCAAGAGCUAAAGUAAUAAAAAAAAAUUAUUUUAGGUGUUUCAUAUUCUUUCAUAGUAUUCCACAAGUUUCAUGGGAUCGGUUUUGGUGAUUUUUCAAUUUAGCGGAAUCUAAAUAUUUUUAAGUUAGCAUGUUCAUAAAAUUUAAUUAGGAUAGUCUACAUAAUUUUUUUUUAUUUUUUAAAAAUUACUUUAAGAAAAAAAAAUCAUCAUAAAUUCAUUCUUUAAUAAUGUCGGGCUAAAAAUUUAACCCAUAAAGGUUGGAGGAGAAAAACUAUGGCUAAAACCUAAAUUUUUUUUACUUAAAAUUUUAGGUUUUAACCUAAGGAUUCGAGAUAGUCUAAGGUGGGGAUAACAAAAGGCCAUUCAACAAAAAGGCAGAAGAAAAAAUCCUAAUCUUCAACCGCAAAGCUAACCGAUGUCACCUCUAUCACCACGCCAACAACCACAAGGGUAGCCACCCGAAAAAAAUUAAUUCCGCCUUGUAUUCAAUGAAAGUAUCCUAGUGCAAAAAAAUUCAACGUAAAACAAAAAUCGCCACACCAAAGAAGAGCCAACAGAUCCGGACCACAAACACAAGCCCCUACAAGUUGAACAACAAGCCUAAACAAAUGGUAAGGGAUGGGGCCCGGCUAAAGGGGUAUCUAAACACCGUCGCUUUGAUAAAAGCCGCAACAAACUUGGGCCCUGAUUUCAUGCAUGAAUAUUAAAUCCCUAGUAUAUUACCUUUCUUGCUAAUUCCAAGAGUGUUUCUGGAAUCCUACUAAUACUCUAUGCAUGGAUGUCAUUGAAUGCAUCUGGACAUUCUGUUAAGUUCCAUUGAGUGAGUCUGCAUCCCUAGAUUAUGUUCGGUUCCAUUGAGUUCGUAUGGAUUCUAGAAUCCAACCUCGUAUCUUGUGUGUCAAUUCUAUUCUAUUUCAUGAGUGCAUCUGGAAUGUGUAACAUUGUAAUAUGUUAGCUGAGCUCUUGUGUAUUAUUUAUAUUUGAUUCCAUGAGUGCAAUUGCAACGUGUAACGUUGUGAGCCAAGCCUAUUGUUGUUCUUAUCUCCUAAUUUUUUACUUAAUCCCCCACCCCAAUUAAUUUCUCCCCAGUUUGGACCACAGCCAGCCUCAAACCAACUCCACCGCCUUUUCGGGGUCAAAAGUAGCCUUUGCCUCUAGUCAUCAUCUAGACUAUAGAUGGAGGGCCCCACAAGUUAACUAAAUACAAAUUGAUGAUCACAUCAAUAAAUAGUUGGGUACUAUUAUUUUUGUCAUGAAAGACAUAAUUAAUAUUAUUAUAUACUCCUUAGUGCUUAGUCCACAUCAAUUAAUUUGUCAAAAUGUUGUUCGGCCUUAACAAUUAUUUAUCUGUAGGUGAUUAAGUGCUUAAUUUUAUGACCGACUUUCAAAUACUAACUUAUUGUAGCCAACAAUUGAUAGAACGACUCACUCAAAUUUAUGACAGAGUUUCAAAAAGUAAUUUAUUGUAACCAACUGAUUUAGUGACUCGUUCAAACUUAUGAUGCAUGGGUAUAGACUAACACUCUUCUUCAAACACUGUGUGAAUGAUACACACAUUUUAAUGCUUAUUAUUGGGAUCAUACAUGUUAUAAAUCCCUUUGUAAAUAUUAUUUUUGAAAAAAAAAUCAACCAUGAGCUAUGAAAUCCGUUGCUGGCUACUGGCCCAUUUUCGUGAUUAUUGAAUGUUUUGAGAUACUAAAGCCGUCUGUAUCGCUCCUGAGAGAAAAACAAAAGCCAUGUGUUGCGUGCUGGCACCUCGUCACUGGUGUUGGUGAUUCUUUAUUGUAAGUUUGGAGCAUGAAGCUGCUAAAUAAUUUCUCCAUACAAAUUGAUUAAUAUGAUGUCCAUCAAUGUUUCAUCAAUCCAUCGUGUAACGCACCAGCAAAUACGUCGCCCAAAAGCUACAGUAAUGCUUGUUGAGAUCAAAUUACAUUGGAGCGCAUUUACGUAAAGGGAGUGGAACAAGAGGAAUGGGAAUUGCACUCCUUCCGAGUUAUUCAAGUGUUUACCAACAUACUAGGAAUUAGUCUCCCGAACAAUAGGUGCGAUUUGAAUUUCGGGACAAAACCUCUGUUUGGAAUCCCUUUUUUCUACCUAAAAUACCCGUAUCUCGUCUCCCUUCCACCUCUUUUGUCUAUGUGGGCAGUGACCAAUAUCAAAUGAGAAGAAAACAUCAGAAGAGGGAAGAAGCAAAUGGAGAAAAGAGAUGGGGAAGCAAAGAAUUGGGGAAUGGGGUGCGGUGCGGUCUUCACGAGAAAAAAAAUAAUAAUUGGCGGAUAGGGAAGAAGAAUCAUAAGAGAACGAGAAGAAGAAUCAAAAGGAAGCAAGUGUUAAAAAAAACGAAAAUUAUGACAAAUUUUUCUGUUGUAAUUUUCAAUUGGCGGAUGAGGACUUAAAUGAUUAAAAUAAGGAAAUGUAUGCUAAAAUGUACCUAUAACGGUGUUAACAAUUGGCGGAUGAGGACUUAAAUGAUUAAAAUAGGGAAAUGCAUGCUAAAAUGUAACUAUAACAGUGUUUAAUUGUCAGAAAACGAAAAUUAUGACAAAUUUUUCUUUUGUAAUUUUCAAGUUGUUAAAAAAAAAACAUGUAGACGGGUGAAAAAAUGGGUAAAUGGGUAAAAAAAUGAUAAACAGGUUCAAACACGGGUAAAUGGUUAUGGUUAAAUAGGUAAAUGGGCACACGGUUAUGGGUAUGGAUAACCGUUUAUAAACGGUUACGGUUAUGAGUAUAACUGUUUAUGCAAUUACCCAACGGGUAAAUAGUUAUGCGUGUAUGAAUAUAAACGGUUAUGGAUAAAUAACCGCAAUUACCCGCCCACAAGAACCGUUGCCCAUCCCUACUUGUGAGUAGUCAGCUAGCUUUACUUAUGAAUUGAUGAUGAUCUUCCCUUAAUUUUUCUUUCUUCAUGUAUGAACGCGUCGAAUUUUUGUACGCGGAAGGUAAAGGUGCUUGAGUUGGGAUUUUUUUAUAUUUCUUCUCUUUGAUGAUUUUCUAGGAAAGCCUGAGCACCAUAAAAUUUUCAUUAACUUAAUAAAUCUCAUUCAUCUCAAAUAUCCCCUUCUCUUUCUUUGAUAUAUUAUCGAGCGCUCGCUUCUGUCUUCUUUUUUAUUCACAAGUUACAAGUCUGUUGUUAGUUCCUUCAGAGAAACACAGAAACAGAUGGAGUGUAUCAUGGCUAUCGUGCAGAUUUGCUGCAGAUGGUUAACAUUUUCUUCUCCGUCAUCUGCUGCUGCUGGAGAUGAUGAUGAUGAUGGUAUUGAAGCUAAUAUCCCCCCUCGUCGGGAAAAGUAUGAUGUGUUUAUCAGUUUCAGAGGUGAGGACACCCGCCGUGGUAUUACCAGCCAUCUUCAUGCUGCCUUACUUCAGAAGAAAAUUGAAACCUACAUAGAUUACAGACUUCAGAAAGGAGAAGAAAUCCGACCUGCCCUUCUAGAGGCAAUCGAGAAAUCCACGCAUUCGGUGAUCAUUUUCUCACAAAACUAUGCUUCUUCCACAUGGUGUUUGGAUGAGCUUGUGCAUAUACUCGAAUGCAAGGAAAGACAUGGCCAGAAGGUUAUACCCGUAUUCUACGACAUCAAUCCAUCUGAUGUACGAAAACAACACGGGAGUUAUGCGGAUGCAUUUGCUCAACUUGAAAAACGUUUCAAGGACAGUAUUAAUAAGGUGCACAAGUGGAGGGAUGCUUUGAAGGCUGCAGGCAAGCUAUCUGGGUUUGAUUAUUCAAACAAUCAAGGGUAAGUAACUCAUUCUUUAACUUGUAUAAAAUUAUAAAUUGGGUUAUUAUACAAAAUAGUCUCUCAGAUUUGCAUGAUCAAUGGAAAUGGUCUCUGAAAUUGAAAAUCAAUAAAAAUGGUCCAUGAGAUUGUCUACUAUCCAUGAUUUUGGUUAUUCCGUUAAAAACUCUUUGGGCAAUUCAAAACUUUGUAACUCAAUCGUUUCUUAAUCAAAUUCGACUCAUAAUAUAUCAAAAUGAAGAUAGAAAAGUGUAGAAGAAGAUUAUACCUAUUUUGAAGCCUAAUGGUUGCCGUGGAUGGUCAAAAAAUAGCUUGAAAGGUGACUGGUCAGUGGGAAAACUGGAAAACUCACCGGAAACUUGGUAAACUUUAAACGUUCAUAACUUCUUCAAUACUCAACAAAAUCGAGUGAUUUAAAAACAAAAAUCAUACUUUUUGACGAAAAGAAGAGAAUUGUACCCUUUUUAAAAGGUUAACUCGUCGUGGUUUGGUCGGACAACGGCUCGAAAGUGGCUAACCAUUUUCAAGUUAGCCAAUUUUGAGCAGUUUUCCAUAAAAACCACAUCGAGUUAGCAGUCAAGAUAGAUACCAUUCUCUUCGUCUCAUUGAGAACUAUGAUUUUCUUUUUUGAAUCACGCAAUUUCGUUGAGUAUUGAAGAAGUUAUAAACGUUUAAAGUUUACCCAGUUUCCGGCGAGUUUUUCAGUUUUCCCGCGGACCAGUCACCUUUCAGGCAAUUUUUCGGCCAUCUCCGGCAAUCAUUGGGCUUCCAAAUAGGUAUAAUCUUGUUCUACUUUCUUAUUUUCAUUUUGAUAUAUUAUGAGUCAAAUUUGGUUAAGAAUCGAUUGAGUUACGAAGCUUUGAAAAUUGCCCAAAAAGUUUUUAACGGAAUGACCAAAAUCAUGGAUGGUGAACUAUCUCAGGGAUCAUUUCUAUUGAUUUUCAAUCUCAGAGACCAUUUAUAUUAAUCAUGCAAAUCUUAGGGACUAUUUUGUAUAAUAAUCCUUAUAAAUUUUCUUUAAACUUGUGAGAAUUUGAUUAGAUUUGGUAAAGCAGUACUCUAUUUUAAACUUGGGGAGGGGUGGGGAGAUUUUGGUUUUAACAAGACUUCGUGCCCAAGCGGUGCGGGUCGAAAAAUUAGUCAGGUAAUUAAAAUCAAAACCUAAAAAAGAGUGGAUUUUUUUUUUAAUUUAGAGAACAACAUUUCUAGUGGCAAAGUUAGGAAUUGUCGAGGAAAUGGACGAAAUAUAAAAGGAUAAAAAAUUUAAAAUAAUUUAUACAACAAAAUUCUUUCAAUAUUAGAUAAUAUUAAUGUCGUUCAUAAUUUAUCAAUACAAACAAAUUAUAAUUGUUGUCGUGUCUUGAAAACAUAGCAUAAUAGGCUGAUUAUCAAUAAAAAUAAACAUCUCUCUCAAUAUAAACAACUCAAUUAUUGAUCUCUCAUUUCGUAGCGCAAUAGUGUUUGACAAUUCAUUUCUUAAAAUACAAAAAGAUAACUUAGUCAAACGUCACUAUUUGUGAUACAAAUCCAAAGAAAAAAAAAAAGUUGUGAUAGGUGUGGUUGCUAGAUGAAAGACACCUAGUGGCUAAUUUGUUUGAUGUUAGUGCAUGGUAAUCAAGUGUCAAACAUGCAAUCUCUCUUUACUUGAUUUAUAAUGAGUUAAUGCAAAACGCUCCCUGUAUUAAUUGGUACAUACACUCCCUCAAGUUUCACACAUCUUCAUAAUCUGUCCAUCUCUUCUCUAAUGGAUAAUGACUUCCAUCACCUUUGAAUUCACCUUUUAAAACCAACCUUGCCUCACAAUUAAACGGCGACCCAUGGAAUUAGAUUCAUAUGUGCCCCCAUCUCCUGAUCAAGAUCCGUAAACUGAUGUUUCCUCUAAAGACAUCACCAUAUCAGACAACCCCAACAUCUCGGCUCGCCUUUACCUCCCAAACAUCCAUCAAAAUAAAACCUAAAAGCUCCCCAUCUUGGUUUACUUUCACGGUGUUCUGUUCUAUGUGUUGUCUGCCUAUGGACUCUUCACCCACCACUGUCUUAAUCCUUUGGUUUGCCUUUGAUACGAAACGCACCGUUUCGUUUAAUUCUUUUAUUCCCAAAGCCCAAACGAUGUCGUCUAAAAAUAAAAAAAUGGGACACUUUGGAUGCGGUCCCUAGCUAUCAAUAUUCUUUGAUUGAAACCUUGUUAGUUUUUAAUUUUUGAUUGAGGUCCCUGACAUUAAUGUAAUAAUGUAAGUUACUAUAUUUUUUAAAUUAAAAAUUAAAAAUUGAAAUUUGUAAUUGUUUAUAUUAAUGAGAUUUUAAAUAAAACCCAUAAUUUAUGGGAUUAAAAAUAAUAAAAUAUAAAUUACUCUCUAUUAUAUUGUGUGUGUGUGUGUAUAAAUAUAUGUAUGGGUACAUUAACCAAAAUUAACAAAAAAAGUUAUUGUACCAAAACAUGGAUACAUUCUCAAAUCAACGAAAAAGAAUGUACCCAUAUAAGUUUAAACAUGGAUUAAAAAAUUUGAAUGGAUUUUAUAUUUAAAAAAUGGUACAUUUUACAUAUAACAAAUUGAUAUAUUUGAGAAUGGGUACAUUUAAGAUUAAAAAAAUUGAAAAAAUUAUAUGAAUGGGUAUAUUUAAGAUUAAAAAAUUGAGAAUCUUUUUAUAUAUAAAAAAAAAACUAAUAGGUACAAACUUAAUUUAAUUUAAUUUUUUAUUAUUUUGGAAAUGUUUGAAUUGAAAAUUAAUUAGAAGUUUAAUAGAGGUGUGAGUAUUAAACCCUAAAUUAAUUACUAAUUUUUAUAUUAAAAAAUUAUAUAAUAAACAUGUAAAUUCAUUAUCACAUUAAUGCUAGGGACUUGAAUCAAAAUUUGAAAACUAAUAAGGUCUUAGUCAAUGAACAGUAAAAACUAGGGACCGGAUACUAAUUUUUCCGGAAGACAUUGGAUGCGGUCCUUAGUUAUGAAUAUUUUUUUUAUUGAAACCUUGUUGGUUUUUAAUUUUUGAUCGAGGUCCCUGAAAUUAAUGUGAUAAUUUAUUUCUAUGUAUGUUACUAUAUUUUUUAAAUUAAAAAUUAGAAAUUUUAGUUGUUUAUAUAAAUGAGAUUUUAAAUAAAUAAAAACCAUAAUUUGUGGGAUUAAAAAUAUUAAAAUAUAAAUAUACUAUUGUGUGUGUAUAUAUAUAAACAUGGGCACAUUCAUCAAAUUAACCAAAAAAUUUAUUGUAUCAAAACAUGGGUACAUUCUUCAAAAUCACAACAACAACAAAAAUAUUAGGCUUAAUAACAUUAGUAAAUUUCUUCGAUUAAACUUGACAUGAAUACAUUUUAAAAUCAAAGAAAAAAGAAUGUACUCAUAUAAGUUUAAAAAUGGAUUAGAAAAAAUUGAAUAGAUUUUAUAUAUUAAAAAAAAGGGGGUACAUUUUACAUAUAACAAAUUGGUAUAUUUAAGAAUGAGUACAUUUUAAGAUUAAAAAGUUUUACAUGAAUAGGUACAUAUAAUUAGCAUGGGUACAUUUAGCAAAAUAAAAAAAUAAUAUAUGGGUACAAAUACAAAUAAACUUUAAAAAAUAUCUGCACAAAAAUAAAUUAAUAUAUGGGUACAAAUUAAAACUUAAAAGAAAAUUGGUACAAGUUAAAAAAGAAUUACAAAUUAAAAAUUGGUACAAACUAAAACUAAAAAUUUAUGAUAAAAAUUUUAGUCAUAAAUAUAAAUAUACUAAUUGUAACAUUUUUAACAUUAAUCGAAUAUAUUUAGAAAUAAAAAAAAAUUAUUAUUGAAAUAAUUAAUGAUGUUAUUAAUACCCAAGGACCUUGAUAAAAAUUUGAAAAGGAAUAGGAUUUUAAUCAAUGGAGUAGCAAAAGGAAGGAUGAGAACCUAAUUUCUCCUAAUGUAAAUAAUGGAACAAAAUAGAACAUUUUAAUAGAAGGUGUAAUGACAAAUAUAAUGUCUUUGCAUAAGAGACAUAUGUAGCAUGCAAUUCAAUCGGCUUUUCAAACUUGUUUACAAUAACCCUAUUUACACAUAUUUACAACAACUCAACUCGAUUUGCACAUAUAUAUGUACAAUCAUAUUUACAAUUCUAUUUACGGAUACAAUGUCCUUAUCAUAUUUGAAGCCAGCAACCAAACAACAUAUGAUAAUUCCAAAACACACAACGCAAGAAUCUUUACUCAGUUAGUCUCCGAUCUAAUUACAACUCUAGAGUAAGUACUUCCAAAAGAAUAUGAACUUAUAUAUAUAUUAACUAUAUAAAUAUAAAUAUAGAUACAAAUAUAUACCAAAUCUCGACAUACGUCCAGGAUCGACAUCUAACACAGGGACGUAGGGGACAUCUUAACAUACGUACAAGAGAUGAAUGAAAUAUUAGAACUGAUACCUCAGAGUAAACAUGAUAGUGGACUCUCCCCCACAUACAAAUCUAUAUUCUCAAAAUACACAACCCUUAUUAGGGCCAAGACAUACCCAUAGGCUCAAAAUACAAGUCUCAAAAGAAAUAAUACAAUGAAAGGUAAAGUGGUAAACUAGUCGCUCCAAGUCUUUGAUCUUUGCACUGCUACCCCCACCGACUCCUUGUAAUCUACUCAGGCUUGUCACCUGUACAAUCAGGCAUGCAGUCCGCGCUAACGCACCCUGGCACGAAUAUCAAGAAGUCACGUACUAUCGUUGCAUGGGCUGAGGUCCAAUUUGGUCGGGAAAUGGCCAGAAAUCACCUUAGACUGUCGAAACCUUAAAUGGGUAUUAUUCGAAUCGCUGUCAAAUCGAACCCCAACGCCCCAACCAGUGUUUAGGCCUUGGUCCUAGGUUCAAGGAGAGUCUAUUGGUGGAGGUGGUUGAAGGAACAAGCUUUAGAAAUGGCCGAUCGCCAUCGAAUACUCAUGGACCCGUCGGUGGAGUUCUUCGCGAAACCGAGGCCAAAUCUCAUCGAGUUUGUGUAGAGACUGAAGGGAAACUGAUGUGGUGAUGUUUGGUGGUGAUGGAAGUUCGAGAAAAGCCUGAAAAAUCGAUAGCAAUCAUGUCGGAAAUUGUAGAGGGUUCGGGUUAGGAGUCGGGUCGCGAGGGGGGAGUAGGUCUGCUGGGUUGUCUCCCCUCUUCUCUGAUUGGUUUCCUCACUAUCACUCUCUCUCUAAUUGGCCCUCACCCAAAUUAAUGGGAGCUUCUAAUUAUAUAUAGGGCUAGAAAUUUUUCUCGAAAAUCCUAAACCAAACUAAAAAAAACCUCGAUCCCAUACCGAAAAAAUCCCAAACCGAUAAUACUGAAAUUUUUGGGAUCCCUACCGAACCGAUCCUGAACUUUACGGUACGAAAAUCAGGAUUACAUAUUCAAUGGUUCGGGAAUCCCAAACCAAACCGAAAAUAUAUAUAUAUAUAUAUAAACUUUUGGUUGCAUGCAUGUUGAAUGUUGAAUUUAAGUAGUUUGAUGGUAAACUAUAUUAGAAAUAGAAAUAUGAAAUUAAGUAGUUUGAAACUUUGGAACGUCAAUUUGACUUGGUAUGAAUGAAUUGGUAUUUCAAUUGGUAUGAGGUAAAAAACUUCAAUUUUUAUUGAUAUGAAAUUGGGAAACAAAAUUUUAGGCCAAAAGCCCAAAUUUUAGCUUAUAGCCCAAAAAUCUCAAAUUUCAACCCAAAAACCCAAAAGCCCAAAACCGAAAAUCCAAUCCCAAUCCAUCUUGAAAUACUAAAAAUAUUUUGAGAAUCCCAAAAAUUGGGAAUAACGAAAUUUUGGUUUGGGAUUGGUCUUCAAAUUCUCAUCUUAAAAUUUUUCGGUUUGGAAUCCCAUACCGAACCACCCAUAAUUAUAUAUUAAACACAUUUUUUUUUAAUUGAACUUCCAACAUCCGUAACUUCUUCGUUAUCACUCCGAUUCGCAAACGGUUUUUGCCUACACACUCAUGGAAUUGAGUUCUAUUAGAAAACACUAACAGUGGCCUUGAAAGGUCUACGAAUUUUAAAAGAUUAAUUACGAAAAUUUAUACUUUGUAACUAUUCUAAAAUUAACGGAAUUAGAAUAAAAUUAAAAUAACGUAAAUAAAUACGUAAUUAAUAAUGAAAAUUCAGGGACGGGAUUUCACAUCCUUCCCUCUUAAAAAGAGUUUAGUCCCUUAAACUCAACGCACCUGAGUCAAACAGAUGUGGAUAGUGCUGGCAUAUCGUCCUCUGUCUCCCAAGUCAACUCAUCCACGCCAUGAUUGUUCCAUAACACGCGCACUAAAGAAAUACUCUUGGUGAGGAAAGCUUUCUUUCUUCACCCGUCAAAAUUGAGGUUCUCUUUAACCUAAAUGGGCCCAUAUGAAAUGACACGAGACGGAUCAGUUCGAUACUUCCAAAGCAUAUAUACGUGAAACACCAGAUGAAUGUGUAAUAGCUCUGGCAGUAGUGCAAGACGAUAGGCAACCUCAUCAACUAUCUUUAAGAUCUCAAACGGCCCAAUAUACCUCGGACUAAGCUUCCCUUUAUGCCCAAACCUAAGGACGCCUUUCAUAGGAGAAACCUAUAAGAAAGCAUACUCUCCAACCUUGAAUGUCACCUCAAGUCUGUGAGCGUCAACUUUAUUGUCGACUCUAAGUUGCUAAUAAAUGUGCACGGAUCAUAGUAACCUUCUUUGCAACAAUCUUCAUUAACUCUGGCCCCAACCGUCGACGCUCGCCUACCUUGUCCCAAUACAAAAGAGAUCUGCAUCUCUUCUCAUAAAGUGCUUCGUAAGGUGUCAUCUGAAUACUCGUCUGGUAACUGUUAUUAUACUCAAAUUCAAUCAAAAACAAAUGUCUAUCCCAACUACCCUUCAAAUCAAGUACACAAGCUCAAAGUAUAUCUUUCAAGGUCUGAAUAGUGCGCUCUAACUGACUGUCAGUCUGAGGAUGAAAAGUUGUGUUGAAACUCAACUUAGUCCCCAUAGCAUUAUGAAGACUACUCUAAAAACAAGAAAUGAAAUAAGGAUCACGAUCAGAAAUGAUAGACACUGGAAAUUAUGUAACUUCACAAUCAUAUGUAAGAAGAGUCUCAUAAGUCGCUCCAAAGUAUAAGUCUUCUUAAUGGCAAGAAAGUGAGCGGAUUUCAUCAAUCGACUAACAAUAACCCAAAUGGAAUCAUGCCUAUCUCAAGUCCUCAGCAAGUUUGUCACAAAAUCCAUGGUAAUGUGCUCCUACUUCAUUUCAGGAAUAGAGAGUGAUUGAAGUAAGCCUGUGGGCUGCUAAUGUUCUGCCUUAACUUGCUGACAAGUCAAGCAAUAUGCGACGAACUCGACAAUUUCUCUCUUCACGUUUCCCUACCCAAAACUCUCAGAAAGAUCUCGAUACAUCUUCGUACCUUCGAGGUGAACAAAAAAAAUGGAAAUAUGAGCCUCAUCCAUGACCUCUCUUUGUAGAUCUCUAACAUUUGGGACACAAUGGAACAUUUGAAGUCCUAAAAUUUAAGUAGAACAACGGUUAAAGAGCUACACUCAUCAAUCGAGUUUCUCCCUGUUCUUGAAAGACUUGAACUACAAGCUUGCAACAGACUUUCAAGUAUCCCAAAGAGCAUUUGCAAGUUGAAGUUUCUCGAGGUACUCGAUCUCUCUUCGUGCUUCGUACUUGAAAACUUCCCAGAGAUCUUGGAGUCAAAGGAACAUUUGAAGUCCUUAAAUUUAAGUAGAACAGCGGUUAAAGAGCUACACUCAUCAAUCGAGUUUCUCCCUGCUCUCGAAAGACUUGAACUACAAGCUUGCGACAAACUUUCAUAUAUCCCAAAGAGCAUUUGCAAGUUGAAGUAUCUCAAGGUACUCGAUCUCUCUUCGUGCUCCGAACUUGAAAACUUCCCAAAGAUAGUGGAGCCAAUGGAACAUUUGAAGUUCUUAAAUUUAAGUGGAACAGCAGUUUAAGAGCUACACUCAUCAAUAGAGUUUCUCCCUGCUCUUAAUAGACUUGAACUACGCUAUUGCAAAAGGCUUUCAAGUAUCCCAAUGAGCAUUUGUAAGUUGAAAUAUCUCAAGGAACUCAAUCUCUACAGUUGCUUUAAACUUGAAAACCUCCCAGAGAUCUUGGAGCCAAUGGAAAAUUUGAAGUCCUUAAAUUUAAGUAGAACAGCAGUUCAAGAGCUACACUCAUCAAUCGAGUUUCUCCCUACUUUCGAAAGACUUGAACUAUGUGAUUGCAAAAGGCUUUCAAGUAUCCCAAAGAGCAUUUGUAAGUUGAAGUAUCUCAAGGUGCUCGAUCUCUCUUGGUGCUAUGAACUUCAACACUUCUCAGAGAUCUUGAAGCAAAUGGAACAUUUGGAGUCCUUAGAUUUAAAGUGGAACAGGGGUUGAAGAGCUACCUGUAAGCAGUAUAUGAAUAAAUAAGCUACUGCAACAUAGCAAACCAACACAACCCUAGGAUUACCAACUAAUAUUAGAUUCAUCAUAACUAGAGAAAUACCAGUUUAUAAUCUGCAAGAUACUUACCUGGAGGCAUCGCCAUUGAAGAAACAACAGAAGAAGAAGUCUUCUACUUCCAACACUCAAAAGUCUCUCUUCUAAGUGAAUAGGGUUUUAGAUAAUAUCAAGAGCGUACAUGAGGAAGCAGGGACUUCAACUAUAUAUAUCCAUCCAUUUAGCUAGAGAUUCACUCGGUCCAGCCUAUUAUCAGAAAGAGUGAUAAUCUCUAUCUCUUAAUAAGUUUUAGUCCUAUCAUGACUCUAUAUACUAGUAUAUAUUUGAUAAGGAUCAAAAUAGAACAGUUGCAACGUAUAAAACUCCACAAUUCUUGUCAUACUAAAGCUCUCAGACUCCUUGUGUUUCGCAUAACUAGUAUAACUAGUUAGACGCCACCCAAGUAGUCCAGUUGUAAUCUCAUUGUCAUUCAAACAAGUUUUACAUUCUCCCACUUGAAUGUCAAUGAUAUGCCUUAAUAUUACAAGAAUCAUGAUGAUCAUAGAGUUCACAAAAGCUUGCAACUGAUCCUUCUUAGUAACUUGUCAUUUUUAAGAAAAAUAUAGGACCACAGAAAACAAAGCACGAAUAGCUUGCCCUUUGCACUCUGUGAUCACAUACAUAUUUAACUUAAAAACACUAUGUCACUCUUGAGAGUCAUGAUGUCAAAAACUGACAAUUCAGAAUGUCAGUUCCCCAUAACAAACUGAAAUAAUUCCAGUACCAAAGUUGUUUGUAGAAACAUGAUCAGCCAAUUUAAGCAAAUUAAUAAAGAUAACAAAUUUGCAAGCUAACCAACAACUGUCAAUCAAUAAACAAAAUAACUGAAACAAACUCAACACAGUUUAUGGAGUGCUUACUCCCACUCAUUAACUGAAUCAAAUACCUCUCUUACUCCCAUGUUGAAAACAUGUUUCUUGAAAACUCCCACUGGUAAAGCCUUUGUCAUUGGAUCAGCAACCAUUAAACUUAUGUUGAUGUACUCAAUUUCGACAGUUCCUUUCUUCACUUCAUCUCGUACUUUUAAGUAUUUGAUGUCCAUCAAUCUACUGGCAUAAGACCUCUUGUUAUUCUUCGAAAAGAAAACUACAGCUUUGUUGUCACAAUACAACUUGAGAGGCUUUUCAACACUAUCAACGAUUUCCAAUCUUUUCAUCAUGUUUUUAAGCCAAACGGCUUGUUAAGUUGCUGCUUAGCACCCUAUAAAUUCAACUUCCAUAGUUGAAGAUGCAAUACCUUUCUGUUUUGCACUCUUCCACGAUACUGCACCAUUAGCCAACAGAAAGAUAUAUGCAUUAGUUGACUUUCUGUUGUCUACGCACCCUGCCAAGUCCGAAUCCGUGAACCUCACCAAUUCCAGCUUGUUCACAUGACUGUAAGUUAACAUAAAAUCUCUUGUUCUUUUGAGAUACCUCAGUACCUUUUUCGCUGCAACCCAAUGACAUGCACCAGGAUUUGAUUGAAACUUACCAAGCACACUCAUUGCAAAAGCCAAAUCCGGUCUUGUACAUACAUGGGCAUACAUGAGACUCCCUACAAGAGAUGCAUAGGGCUUGUCUUUCAUUCCCUCCUUCUCUAAUUCAUUUUUGGGACAUUGAACACUGCUCAGUUUGUCUCCUUUGCCGAUAGGCAAUUCUCCAUUCGAACAUUUGUCCAUAUUGAAUCUUUAGCAACUCUAUCGAUAUACUGCCUUUAAGAAAGACCAAGAGACUUCGUAGCACGAUCUCUUACAAUUUCUAUUCCCAAAACAAAUCGAGCUUCCCCCAAGUCCUUCAUGUCAAAGUUUUGUGUGAGCAUACUCUUAGUUGCCUGUAGUAGAGACAUAUCGGAGCUAGCUAAUAAUAUAUCGUCUACAUACAAUACUAAGAAUAUGACCUUCGCACCAAGGACUUUCAGAUAAAUACACUCAUCCAAUUUGUUCUCUUGGAAACCAGAAGUUGCCAUUACCUGAUCAAAUUUCCUAUUCCAUUGCCUCGAGGCUUGUUUUAAGCCGUAUAUAGACUUAUUCAGUUUACAAACCAUCGUUUCCUUCCCCCUUUCAACAAAUCCAGGUGCUUGUUGCAUGUAAAUAUCUUCUUCAAGAUCUCCAUUUAGAAAUGCCGUCUUGACGUCCAUUUGAUGAAGUUCUAAAUCAAAAUGUGCUGUGAGAGCUAGGAUUAUUCUCAUGGAAUCUUUUGUUGAGACUGGAGAAAAUGUCUCAUUAUAAUCAAUGCCUUCCCUUUGUGUAAAGCCCUUCGCCACUAACCUUGCUUUGUGUUUGUCAAUGUUGCCUUGUGAGUCUCGUUUUGUCUUGAACACCCAUUUACAACCAAUAAUUUUUGUUGUUCCAGUUGGCUUUGGAACUAAGCUCCACACACGGUUUUUCUCCAUGGACUCCGGUUCUUCAUGCAUGGCUUGUUUCCAUAGUGUGGAUCUUGAACCUGUUAUGGCUUGAUUGUAGGACAAGGGAUCAUCUUCAUCACCUAUAGUAUGUUCUGCCUCAUUUAGGUAUACGAAAUCAGGCAACAAUGCUGGCUUACGUACUCGCUGUGAUUUUCGAAUAGUUGAUUCGAAAACUGCAAUUGCUGGAUCAUUCAUAAGGUCUUCUUCAGUUGAUUGUACCGGUGCAUGUACUUCAUGUUCCUGGACGUCUGCAUGGGGUGCAUACUCCUCAUUUGUUGUAUCAUUUUCAUGAACCGUAUGUGAACUGUCAUGAAAAGGGUGUGGCUGCAUGUCCAUGGGAAUGAUAAGAGUAGGUGCAUGCUGAUCAAUAACGUCAUUAUCAAGUGUAAUUUCUUUGAAUUCUGAGGAUGUAGCUGCUGAUAUUCUGAUGUCAGUUUCAUCCUCAUCUUCAAGAAAUCUUGCAUUAUGGGUUUCCAUAACCCUCGAGUGACUGUUAGGGCAAUAGAACUUAUACCCUUUAGACUUCUCAGAAUACCCAAUGAACUUGCAACUGGUGGUCCUUGGAUCGAGUUUUUUCUCUGUUGGAUUAUAGAAUCUGGCCUCAGCAUUACAACCCCAUACACGAAAGUGAUGAAAGCUCGGUUUCCUUCCAGUCCAAGCUUCAAAUGGAACCAUGUCUACGGACUUGCUUCGUACACGGUUCAAUAUAUAGUUUGCAGUUUUCAGUGCUUCACCCCAAAGAAACAUCGGAAGCUUUGAAUGUGCAAACAUGGAUCUGAUCAUGUCUUUCAGGGUUCGAUUCCUUCGUUCAGCAACUCCAUUCUGGUGUGGAGUCCCAGGGGUGGUAUACUGGGCCACGAUGCCAUUUUGUUCAAGAUAAGUUGCAAACGGUCCUUUGUUUUGUCCAGCCUCAAUGAACCUGCCAAAAUACUCACCACCUCUAUCGGAUCUCACAAUCUUAAUGUGUUUUUCUAGUUGUUUUUCAACUUCCAAAUGGAAUAUUUUAAAACAAUGCAAGGCUUCAAAUUUUUCAGAAAUAAGAAAUACAUAUGCAAACCGUGAAAAAUCAUCAAUGAAAGUUAUAAAAUAUGAUUUUCCACGUAUGGUUUUAAUUGGAAAGGGUCCGCAAGUAUCAGUGUGUAUAAUUUCUAGUAGAGAUUGGCUACGGUUUGACCCUAUUUUCCUAGUAUUGGUGAGUUUUCCUUUAAAACAAUCAACACACUCUUUAAAGUUGCUGAAAUCAAGUUGUGGCAACAAGUCUUGUUUUGUAAGUGUGAUGAUUCUUUCUUUAGAGAUGUGCCCCAACCUUUUGUGCCAAAGCAUUAAGAUUUUUUCAUGAGUGAGCACUUGUUUUGAACCAACACUUUGAACAUUAAAACAUUCAAUCUCAUAAGUACAAUUCAUUUGCCACAUAUCAAUUUUAAGAUAUGCUUCACCAAGCAAUUUAUUCAUGUCAUUGGAAUGGAAAAACUUUACACUUCGACUGUCACCCACAAAUGUAAAGCCGGACUUAACUAACUUAGAUGCAGAAAUUAGAUUCCUUCUCAUGGAAGGUACAUAGAGUACUGGACUCAAAUCUAAAAUAAAGUUAGAGGAAAGAACACUUCCUAUGGAUUCGACAGCAACUUUGCUGCCAUUCCCUACAUAAACAUUGUAGACUUCAUUGUUUAUCACCCUUGUUUUUUAGAAGUCCUGCAAAGAAUUAGUUAUGUGAAUAAAGCAGUCUGUGUCAAACCACCAACUUUGAGGAGGAAUGUAAACUAAAUUAGACUCAACACACACAAAAAUAUUUAUUUCGUUACCUUUCUUAACAAGCCAAUUCUUGAAGCCAUUGCAGUUCUUUCUUAAGUGACCUGUUUCUUUGCAAAAAUAACACUCUUUUUCUUUCUCAGGUUCAAUGUUAACAGCUGCAACGUAUAAAACUCCACAAUUCUUGUCAUACUAAAGCUCUCAGACUCCUUGUGUUUCACAUAACUAGUAUAACUAGUUUGAUGCCACCCAAGUAGUCCAGUUGUAAUCUCAUUGUCAUUCAAACAAGUUUUACACUACCCACACCACUCGAGUAUCUCUCUGUUCUCACAGUAUACAAACAAUUUUUGUUCUAGAUUGUCCAAAAUCCCUAAAAUCUUGAAGCCAAUGAAACAUUUGGUGUCUCUUACUUUGCAAGGGAUAACUGUCGAAAUUCUUCCUUCGUCUAUUAAAAAUCUAAUUAGGCUUAAAACUUUAAACCUUUGUGGCCGCAAGCACCUUAACGAUGUCCCAACAAGUAUCUACAGUUUAACCAAUCAUAAAAGUCUCAACUUUUAUGCUUGUUGGAAACUUGAAAAAUUGUCUUCUAGCUCUGCCGGUUCUCUCUCUUUUGUACUACUAAAUCUCAUCAGCUACAGCGGUAUAUUGGAAAAUCCCUGAUGGUCUCUUUUUCUCAACCUCAUUGUAAAAUUUAUCUUUCUGGAACCAAGAUGACAAUUCCAAAGGUGGUGGAUGAAGAGAUGAGCCUGAAGCCAUUGGUUGGUGGAUGAAGAGAUGAGCCUGAAGCCAUUGGAUCAAGUGAUUAAGUCCAAAGCAAAUGAAAGCGAUGAUCAUGGACUGCAAAACACAACAAAAAAAAAAAAACCCGAAAAGGGUCGAAUCUAAUCUGCAGAGACCACCUAAAAUCAAGCUCAAGUAAAAUCUGAGAAAAAAUAGAUGAAUCUAAUCUGCAGAAACGAAAAAUAAUCGAAAUGAAAGAAGAGGUGGAAGGGAAUCGGAGCUUACCAGAGAGAGAGUGGUGGAGUUCAGUAAAAUUUUUGAGGGAAGAAGAUGAGGGAGAUAACCGGAGCCAGGACACAGCACAACGAUCUUUCAGUUUCAGUCUCAACACACGGUGCGAGGCAGCGACUAGCAACUAGCGAGAGAGAUAGGAACAUGAGGGUUUUGGAAACUAUUGAAAUUACACAAAAGUCCUUACUAACGGGUGUUAACGGGUGGUUAAUAGGUUUCGUGGGUUCACCCAAACUGACCCGUUAUUUAACGGGUGAUUAACGGGUUGACCAGUUAACCACCCGACCCGUUUAUCACCCACCCGAAUAUUAAUUUUAACAGGUUGGAUUGUGUCGGGUUAACAGGUUAGGUUGAAAAUGCCAGGCCUACCCAAUAGACAUGUGUUCUUCGUUUUAAAAGCCCCAGAAAAAAUAAUGACAUAUACAUUAUAUUAUAAAAGAGAAACUAAUGAAAAUAGCUUGAAAACUUUGAGUUUUAACGAUAAAGACAAAAUAAAGGAUAAAGUGAAAUUUGACUUUUUAGUGUAAAAAUGUCCAUUAAAGUGAACAAUAUCGCGGAUUUUUCAUUAAAACUCCAUAUUAAAAGAAUAAAACAUGUGUUAAUUUAUUAUUGGACAAAACUAAGAGAUGAGUACUCACUAGGGAGUAAACAAAUAUUGUCCAAAUAAUUGUAUUUUGCUUUCACAGUUUCAUAAAUAUGUUACAAAAUACAUGUACAAUGACUACAUGUCCAUAAAGAAGCAGCAGCAGCAAUAUCCAUUACCUUCAAAAGAAAUGACAAAAAAAGCAGAAAAGAGCUUUAAACAGUAUCAAUCGAUAAACACUGAUUAACCUCUGACAAGUUACCAAUUUGCCAAGGGCUUGUUUGUUUUCUCCACCUUCAAAAUAAUAUCCAAAACAAUUAGUUUUUUUGUAUCAUCAGCAUCUGCAAGAGCAGCAGCGGAUGAAGAAGAAGAAGCCAUAUCCAUAACUUCUAGUUUUCAGAUCUAGGAAGUAGUAGUUGCAGAGAGAUUAAUUGUGAAUUAGAAAGAGAGAGGUUCAGAAUUAAGGAGGAUCCAAUAAAGCGAGAGAGAGAGAGAGUUGUUCAGAAUUAAGGAGGACCUGAUGAAACAAAAGAGAGAGAGAGAGAGAGAGGGAGGGAGGGAGGGAGGGAGGGAGACUAGAUCAGAAUUUACGAGAGAGAGAGAGAGAGAGAGACUAGAUCAGAAUUUACUCGAAUUGGCUUUUGACUAAAGUUCCAAAGGCUCCUUCAGGAAUAUCAAUGAGUGAGAGAUGAAUAGUUAUAGAAGUACAAAAAGAGGCACAUGUUGUAAAGUUUUUCAGUUAGUUUGUAAAGGUUUUUUUGGUAAACACGGGGUUGUAAAGUUUUUUUUUUUCUUUUGGUAAACACGGUUGUAAAGUUUUUCAGUUAGUCAAUAACCAGUUUCUUUCAAGAAAUUUUUAAGAAAUUUCCAAGCAACUUUGAUUGAGGACAUUUUUAUAAUUUUCAAAAGAAAAUAAGUGAAUUUCACACUACAAAUCAUAGAGUUAAGAAUAUAAUUGUUCACCAAUUGAGAUUGAACAAGAUUUGGACUAUGUCUUUCCGAGCACAAGUGACAAAUCAAUUCAUUGAAUUAUAGAGUUUCAGCCUAUUUAAUUUGAUACAAGAUAUACACAAUCAUAACAACUAUCAAUUUUACUACUAUAUUAUAGUGAAAUCAAACUAAACGGAUGUUAAUAGUUAUCCAUUAAUAAAUAUUCAAUGGGUUAGUUAGUCACUUCUAUUUCCGAGGCUAUCGAAAGGUCCAAAGAAAGUCCAGAACUCCCACAACGAAGUUGCACACUUCAAUCUAGAGUGGCCAUACCCCAAACUAACAUAUACAAUUACAAAAAAUGGAAACUAGACAAGGUUGUAGCUCCAAUUAAGAAUGUGUUACAUUAUGUGUCAAUGUUUACUAAUUACAUCAAUUAUUAGGCCGGUUCUUUGAUUUUGAUUCGAAACAUGGUACUACUUCAAAGAUCCCCAAUGUUUUAUUUAAAAGACCUUUCCAUGCACAUCAUGUAAUUCAAGAAGUUUCAGGGACUAAUUAAAUAGCGAAAAUGAGGUGAUCGCAAAAGGGAUCAAUCAAAAUGCCUUAAUUGUACCAACUAAUGAAGUUAUUUAAGGGGUUUAUAAUCAUAUUUUAGAACGCUAAUCAUUGAUCGUCUCCUUAAAGAAAAAGAGGACGUGAAACCGACGAAACAUGAACACAACAUCGUCAUGGACAAGAGUUGCUUGUUGGCCAUAAUAAGAAUAGUUAAUCUAUAUGGGAGUGUAUAGAUUAUCAAUUAGGUUUCCUUUUUAGAAAGAUUUACAGAACGAUGCUUAAAUGUACAUAUGCGAUUUACAGUUUGAAAAUAUAACAUGUCAAAUAUCCGACAAACAAAUAACUCUGAUUUCUAAAUUGUAGCUUCCUUCUCAAUCUCGCAUUAAUUUGCACCUUUAUGUGCACGUUUUUGUUUCCCCACUUUGUACAAGUUGACAAAUCAAAAACAUAAACUUGCUAACCAACUCUAAUUUCUAAAGGGGUGUGCUAUCCACACAUUCAUUUUUACUUCUCACACAUUCUUAUUAAUUUAUGUUCGUUGAUCUUCUUCAUUUCAUCCGAUCUGACGAUCAAAAAUUAGAAAGAUGUGUGAGAAGUAAAAAGGGGGGUGUGGAUAUCACACCCCUUUCUAAAUUGUACUAGCAUAUGGGCACACACAAAGUAUGUGAGAAAUUUUUUUUGUUUUUGUUUUUGAAAUAGAAGGAGAGAGGAAGAGAGUGAUAGAGAAUGUGGGAGUGAGAAGUUUUUUUUUUAUAAUUUAUUUAUUUUAAUUAGAGAUAUGUUAUGAUUACAUAUAGGUGAGACUUUGAAGAAAAAAAACAAAAUUUAGUUGUGUGAAAUUACAUUUAUGUCCCAUAUUUCUUAUUCAUGUUUUGUUUUAAAUAGAAAUUUAAACUGAUAAUUGCAUAGGAUUUUGGUUGACAGUUAGUGUUUUAUUAAAUAGUAGAGAUUUGUUGUGGUAAUACCUAAUGGGCCGGGCUCAUUAGGCCCAGUGGCAAUUUUGAAAUAUCACACAAAUACAGUACCAUUUUUGUCACAAAAAAUAAAAAGGAAAAAUCAUCGUUUUCUACCCCCAAACUAUUGGCAUCGCUCAGUGUCUCCAUCGUCUUCUGAUUUUCCUCCGAAUCGGAGAAGAAAGGCAACCACAUCAUGGUCCUCCGAAUUCAUGGUUUUCUGAUUCUUCCCGGCGCUCCUUACGCGUACUGCAGCCUGAGCGCGCGGCGCUCUCGAUUGAUUCCAUAGUCUGAUCUUCCCCGAAUCGCAAUCCGAUGGUGGCGAUGGCGUCGACGCAGAAACAAUCGGCGAAUCUCUUCGAUGCGUAUUUCCGAAACAGAUUGAUUUUGAAUUUGUAGUCUAAUUGUAGUUGAAGUGGUAAAUGUGAGUUCGGGAUGUCUUAAUUCUCUUAUCUAAGCUGAGAUUUUUAUUUUGUGUUAGUAUAACUGCGGAAUUGAUGUUCAGAUGGUAGAAAAUAAGUAGUUGAAGAAUUUAUACUACAGUUAGUGAGGUUGAGAGAGUUAUGUUAUCAGGUCAUUAAUUUAUGUUUGAUGGAGCGGUUUAGAGGGGGAAGCCCUCUUCCAGCUGUGCUACCAAGCAAUGUUAUGUAUGAUUUAUCCAAUAUUUUUCAACCUGCAAAUAAUUACUCCAAUGCUGGCAAUGUAGUCUGGAGACCUGCUUCUCGUAUUCAUCCAUAAAACAAAUCACUUUUAUAUUUUGAAACAUGUCUUUCUUUGAUGGAGAAUAGUUUCUUAUUUUUCACUUUAAAAGGCUUUCAACAACAGCAACUGAUGCCUGGUCUUGGUGCUUGGCACAUGGCACCCCCAGCUGGAGGAAGACCACCGAAGACAGUUGCUCCUUCUCAUGCUGAGGAAAAGCAGCAGGCCAAUUAGCAGAAACCCGGAGUACCAGAAUUGGAGAAACAUCUUGUAGAUCAACUGAAUACAGAGGAGGUUAACUCACUGAACUCAAAGUUCAAAGAAGCAACUGAAGCUGAUAAAAAGGUACUUAGAACUUCAAUGUUUCCCCAGUUUUCUCAUCUUGAGCAGCAAAGUUAUGUGUGCAUGUUACUUCCUGAUAAGUGUCAAAUCAUAACAAAUAUCCCAGAUACUUGGGGAAAGAAAUCUUGGAUGCUAGAGAGAAAAUUGAAUAUUUCCAGGUCAAAAUGCAGUUCAGCCAUCGAACUUGUAAUGUAUCUUUUGUAUUUCAUUUCUUUGUGUAUGCAUCUCGCUUUUUCUUCAUUCUUUUCUUCCUUUAGCUUGUAGCACAACGUAUAAUUUUUUUCCUUAAUUUUGGAAUGUUCCUAGUCCUAUUGAAGCAAAGAGCCUUAUAGUUAUUAUCGUUGUUACAAAUUCGAUGAACAAUCGCAUACUUUUGUGGUGUUGAAUGUUCAAACUAUCGCGCUUGGUUGUGAGAUUUUUACUUUGCCCUGGCAUGGUGUGUUAAUUAAUGUCUAUGUUUAUGAUAUAAAGGUAAAUCAAGUUUUAAAGAUAACAAAUAGGCUAUUAUACACUUGUCCAUAACUAGCGCUUUAUAAUGUAUAAAGCAUAAACAAUACCAAAAUAAUAAAAGCCUUGCCUAGUUGUUGUCUUAUUUCUUGGUCAGACAAGUGAGCUAUCAAAGUACAAAUUUGCCUUAAAAAGUUUUUCGUAAUCACCUUGUGUGAGUGUUGUCCUUGAACUUGACACUAACUUCAACGAUGUGCAGCCUUUAGCUAUAACAAUACAUAGCACUGGGAGCCCUGGUAUAGAUUGAAGCCGCUUGCAGUAGUUUAAGUUGAGUAUAGACAACCGAGAAGCUUGUUUGAUGCUUGCUGGUAUUUCCAAUAUACCGCUGUAGCUGAGGUUUAGUUCUUCUAAAGAGAGAAAACCAACAGAGCUGGAAGGCAAUUUUUCAAGUCUGCAACAGCCAUUAAAGUUGAGACGUUUAAGAUUGGUUAAACUGUAGAUACUUGUUGGGACAUCCUUAAGUUGAUGGCAGCGACUAAGGUUUAAAUCUUGAAGCCUAUUUAGAUUUCCAAUAGACGAAGGAAGCAUUUCGACAGCUGUCUCUUGCAAACUAAGAUACUCCAAAUGUUCCAUUGGUUUCAAGAUUUCAGGGAAUUUGGAAAAUCUAGAGCACUUGGUGAGAUCAAGACUCUCAAGAUAUUUCAAGUUACAGAUUGAUGAGGGUAGCUCUGUAACUGCUGUUUGAAUUAAACUUAAGGACUUCAAAUGUUCCAUUGGCUUCAAGAUUUCAGGGAAUUUGGAAAAUCUAAAGCACCUGGUGAGAACAAGACUCCCAAGACAUUUCAAGUUACAGAUGGAUGAGGGUAGCUCUGUAACUGCUGUUUCAAUUAAACUUAAGGACUUCAAAUGUUCCAUUGGCUUCAAGAUUUCAGGGAAUUUGGAAAAGCUAGAGCAAUUGGUGAGAUCAAGACUCUCAAGAUAUUUCAAGUUACAGAUUGAUGAGGGUAGCUCUGUAACUGCUGUUUCAAUUAAACUUAAGGACUUCAAAUGUUCCAUUGGCUUCAAGAUUUCAGGGAAUUUGGAAAAUCUAGAGCAAUUGCUGAGAUCAAGCCUCUCAAGAUAUUUCAACUUACAGAUUGAUGAAGGUAGCUCUGUAACUGCUGUUUGUCUUAAACUUAAGGACUUCAAAUGUUCCAUUGGCUCCAAGAUUUCAGGGAACUUGGAAAAUCUAAAGCACCUGGUGAGAACAAGACUCUCAAGAUAUUUCAAGUUACAGAUUGAUGAGGGUAGCUCUGUAACUGCUGUUUCAAUUAAACUUACGGACUUCAAAUGUUCCAUUGGCUCCAAAAUCUCUGGAAAGUUUUCAAAUUUAUAGCACCCAUCGAGAUCGAGAUUUUUCAACUUACACCUGAUGCUUGGAAGUUUCUUAAGGUCUUUGCAUUUCCUUAAACUCAAGUGAAAAAUAUUUUCGUUAGACCAAACUGAUUCAGGCAACUCCUUUAUACCUGUGUGUUGUAAAUCCAAGUAUUGAAUAUUUCCUGGCAUCUCUGGAAGAUACUUGAGACUGCUGCAGCCUCUAAGAUUAAGAUGAGUAAGCUUGUCAAGAUGUUGAAAAUACAAAGGAAUUUCAACCAAACUUAUACAGCCCCAGAGAUUUAUCUCCACAAUUUUUAGACUCCCAGAGAGAUUUGGAACUUCAGUUAGAUACUUAGAGCCCGACAGAUCGAUAACUUGCAAGUUGACAAGUAUCUGCAACAAAUUAAAUAGAAAUAUAAAGAAUUAAUAUAAUUUCUACACUUGAUUUUAAACAAGAAUUAAAAUAGGCAUAUAAUAUAAUAUAAUAUACCUGCUCUUCUUUCCAAAGCUUCUUAACUUUGCUAUUGGAUAUAUGAAGCUCAACUAGAUUUUCCGGACAAAAAUUUGACGGCAAAGAUUCCAGUGGAUAUCCCCACCAUUUAAGAUAACGAAGAGAAUCGGGAAGGUCUAGAGAAUUGGUGAAUGUGUAGCCACCAUCCACAAUUAGCAUUAUUAGGUUAGACAUCUUUUUGAAGUCUGCACGUUUCAAUGGUCGCUCUUGAAGAUCAUACCAAUAAACCUGCAUGGCUUCAACAUUUGGAGUUUCCUGAGAAUAAGAAGAAAGUUUAAAUGUGAAUAUAAACAUAUUAAAAUGUAACGCACAUUUGGAACAAAGAGCAUUUGCGAUGGUAAUCAUGUACAAGUGUCUUAGUCUAGUCAAAUAUCCAACAUAAUUGUAUCCUCCUCUACUUGUCUAAAUAAACAAACAUUUGUUCAUAUUCCAAACACUUCCUAACACAAUAAAUAUUCAAUCAAAUUCAUCUUUUAACAAUCUCACUUCUUUAUUAUAAAUUAGUUUUACUUUGUUCUGUUAUCAUCUCAAGUUUGUAAUUUUUUUUUUCUUAAAAAAAAAAAAUAUUGAAUGCAUUUGGCUCUUACCGUGUUACUCCUCAAUACACGAAAGACAUCUUCAUCAUUGAACAACCUACUCCGUUUACCAGGAUCUUUAAUACCUUGUUCUUGAACAAAUUUCCUUCCCAUUUCUUGUAGCAAAUCGUGCAUCUCUAUGGUUUCCAUUCCCCCUUCUGAAUCAAUUGAUAUGAGAGACAUCCCAAUGAGAAUUCUAAUUCCCGAUGUCGCAAAGAAUCCACGAACAUCUAACAUUCGUUUUACCUCAACCACAGAGCUCCCUUUAUGAAAACAUGCUAUAUCCAGAAAUAUCUCCCUCUCAUUUUCUCUCAAUCUAUCAUAACUUAUUCUCAACACUUUCUGAAUAUCUUCACUGGGAAAUCGUUUCAAUUUGUUGAAUUCAUCUUCCCAUUCUUCUUUGCUCUUGCAAUUGAAGAACAAGGACCCCAGAACUGUAAGAGCUAAGGGAACGCCUUUGGCAUAAGCCACCGCCUUUUUUGCCAACUCCUUAUAAUCUGUUCUACGAGUACUGUUAUCCUUGAAAGCACGCGAAUAGAAUAGCCGAAGAGCGUCAUCCGAUUUUAAUACCUCAACCUCGUAGAUAUUAUCCUCUUCAACAGUUUUCCCAAGUGUGCCCCUAUCUCUAGUUGUGAUAAUGAUUCUACUUCCAGUGCCAUACUGAAGACGAUCGCCAGCUAAACGUUCCAAUUGCAUUGAAUCACUCACAUCAUCAAGAACAAUGAGGACCUUUGUACGGCUAAGCCUUUCUCGAACAUAAGUUGUUCCUAUGGAUAAACUUUCUUCCUUUAAUAAUUCACUGAGAAGUGUAUUUUGCAACUUUUCUAGCCCAUCCUUUUGUUCUCUCUCCCUAACAUUUCUAAGAAAACAGGAGGCUUCGAAUUUAGAAGAGAGUCUGUGAAAUAAAGUUUCGGCAAGGGUGGUCUUGCCAAUACCACCCAUUCCCCAAAUACCUACUGUGAUGCAAGCGUCCGAUGAAUGAAAGCCUAACAGCGAUUCGACCUGCUCGAUGCGGCUUUCAAGUCCAACAAAGCCCUUUAAAUCGCAGGAUGAUGCGCGACACAAUUUGGUCCAAAUAUCUUCAACAACUUUCUUAACUAAAUCAGCAUCCGUCCUGGCAUAUAAAUGUAGGAAAGUAAUAGUUAGUCUUAAAUAUUUGUACCUUACAAAAUCUUAGCACAAUAAAAUCAUCACAAGUUUAAAGAAAAUUUAUAAUUUUAUACAAGUUAAAAGAAUUGGUUAGUUACCCAUAAUUUUUUGAAUCAAAGCCAGAUAUAUUUGCUGCAUUCGUCAAAGCAUCCCUCCACUUGUGCACCUUGUCGAUACUGUUCUGGAAACGUUGUUCAAGUUGAGCAAAUGCAACCUCAUAACUCCCCCGUUGUUUUCGUACAUCCGAUGGAAGGGUGUCGUAAAAAAUAGGUAUAACCAACUGGCCAUGUUUUUCCUUGCAUUCUAGGAUAUGCACAAGCUCAUCCAAACACCACUUGGAAGAAGCGUAGCCUUUCGAGAAAAUGAUCACUGAAAGCUCUGAUUCCUCGAUUGCUUCGAGAAGGGCGGGUGCGAUUUCAUCUCCUCUCUUAAGCUUGUCAUCAAUAUAAGUUGUGAUUUUUUUCUCAAGUAAGGCAGCGUGGAGGUGGCUGGUGAAAGUACGGCGGGUGUCCUCACCUCUGAAACUAAUAAACACAUCGUACUUUUUUGCAUCAUCAGCAUCAGCAGGAGCAGCAGCGGAUGAAGAAGAAGAAGCGAUAUCCAUAACCUCUAGUUUUCAGAUCCAGCAAAAAGAUGUAGUUGCAGAGAGAUUAACUGUUAAUUAAAGAGAAAUAAUAUUAUGACGUUGCAGGAAUUAAGGAGAAUUUACUUAGAAUUGGCUUUUGAGUACAUGCACAAAGUUUCAAAGAGUGAGAGAUGAACAAAAGUAGAAAAUGGGGCACAUGAUAGGCGCAUAUUUGCUUUAAAAAACUAUACUUUAAAGAAAGAUAUUCAUAUAUUUGCAAUCUUAAUAUGAACAACGUCAUCUCAGCAUGUAAACGAAGACAACUGAUAAAGAUGCAAACAAAACAAAGUGACAUCCGGUGACAGGUCACCGGCGAAGAAAUUAACAGCAGUCAUAACAAAAAUUAAUUAGCAAAUUAAAUGCCAGCAUAACAUAACACCUAAACUUAUUAAUUAAAAAGAAAUGACAGAAAAUACAGAAAAUAGCCUUAAACAGUAUCAAUCGAUAAACACUGACUAACCUCUGACAAGGGCUUGUUUGUUUUCUCCACCUUCAAAAUAAUAUCCAAAACAUUUACUUUCUUGUAUCAUCAGCAUCAGCAAGAGCAGCUACGGAUGAAAAACAAGAAGAAGAAGAAGCCAUAUCCACAACCUCUAGUUUUCAGAUCCAGUAAGUAGUUGCUGCAGAGAGAUUAAUUAUGAAUUAGAAGGAAAGAGAGAUAGAGAGAGAGAGACUGGUUCAGAAUUAAGGAGGAUCCAAUAAAGUGAGAGAGUGAGUGAGAGAGAGAGAGAGAGUAGUUCAGAAUUCAGAAUUCAGAAUUAAUUACGAUCAGAUCUCGUUCCUUCUGCGCGUCGCGUUGCAGACGGUUUUGAUGGUUGACCGACUGAGUUGGAGAGGGAUUGGGGUUGGGACUCGUCGGGUGCUCGAUGAUGGACACGUGGAUGAGGGUGGCGAUCGCGAGGGUGGCGACGGCGGAGGAGAUGGGCUUUUGGGGUUUUGGGUUUUCAAGGGUUUCUGGGUUGACUUUGCCGUAGCCUCUGGGAUGGGGUGGGAUGGAUCAUGGAUGGGAGGGAAGGUGAAGAGAUUGGAGGAGGUAGAGUGGGUCGGGUGAUGAGUUUUCUGGGGUUGAUUGUGUGUGUGUGUUUUAUAUUUGAAAUGAAAAAAAUAUUUUUUUUUUGCUACAUGCGUAAAUGUAACAGUCACGUCAGUAUAAAUAUGGAUCUCAUAUUUACCACGUCAUCACUUAACGAUUUAUUUAACAGAUUGUCUAACAGAUGUAUGAAAUUAAAAUAAAAUGAUAAGUUAAUGUAUAAAAUUGAAAUGUUUUAAAGAUGUUGUAAGAAAUUGAAAUCAAUCUCAAACAUGAGAGGGUAAAUUGUAAUUUACCCAAAAUAAAAACAAGUAAGUUUCAUACAACAAAAUCAUGUCCUUCACUAUUUAAGAUUGUUUAAGAUUUGGAAUUUAGCUUUCUGACACUGUCAGGACGUCGUAAGAGAGCCCACAACUUAGCCUGAAAGUAAUCAAGAAAAACUUGUGUGAAAAUGAAAAACUUGUGUGGAAAUGACUAAUCAUAUCGUUUAUACGAGAGUAACUUCUAUACCAACGUAGCGGUGAUGACAAGUACUUUGAAAAUGUAUUUACUAUGAUUAUUAAAAAGAUUUUUUGUAUCUAUCAGCUGAUCAAAAUGUACCAGCUUGCCACCAAAACCAACCAAUUAGAAACCAGCAGUAUCAGCCGCAGAAGACAAGGAAGAAAAUGUUAAUGAUCCCAGCACAUGUACACCAGGGUUCCGAUGGCGAUGACGACAAUGUUGAAAACUUAAACGAACCCAACCAACUCCAACGCUCUCUCUUAGACUAGAUUUUAGUCCUUAUCAUGGAAUUAAAUAUCGAUAUAUCGUCGAUAAUAUCGUUAUUUUCACAUAGCGAUAUUUUCAACGUUUACAGUUAAUUAUCGUAAUAAUAUCGCGAUAAUAUCGCUAAUAUCGAUAAUAUCGCGAUAUUAGCGAUAUUAUCGCGAUAUUAACCAUAAUAUCGCCGAGGAUCCUCCGUCGUCGUCGCAACGGCAGCCACAAAUGAGCAAUCCACGCUCAGACCCUGAAAAUGAGCAAUCCUCUCUCUACAAUCCACGCUCAGACCUUGAAAAUGAGCAAUCCCUUUCUCCAGAUCCCAAAACCCACUCGGAUUUGAUGGGGGGGGAGAACCGGAGAAGGAUCGAGAGACUGAGGGAGAAGAAGAAGGAUGGAGAGACUGAGGGAGAAGGAUGGACGGAGAGACUGAGGGAGAAGGAUCGAGAUCGAGGCUGAGGGAGAAGGAUGGACGGACGGAGAGACUGAGGGAGAGAAGGAUCGACAUCGAGGCUGAGGGAGAAGGAUGGACGGACAACGGAGAGACUGAGGGAGAGAAGGAUCGAGAUCGAGGCUGAGGGAGAAGGAUGGACGGACGACGGAGAGACUAAGGGAGAGAAGGAGAGACUGCGUGUGUGGUGUGUGGUGUGUGCGUGUGUGGUGUGUGGUGUGUGCGUGUGUGGUGUGUGCGGUCUGCGUGUGUUGCAGAGAAGAGAUGGGGGGCAGAAGAAGAAACAAGGAGACUGUGGGAGAAGGAUCGAGAGAGCCCUGCACGAAUCCCUCUACGUUUCUAAAAGAUAAUUAAAUAUGAGGAAAUUGUGAGAUCUGACAUGUGGCUAGAAAUGCCGUGUGAAAGUUUCCAUAUUGCACAUGUAUAUAUUAUUGUCAGUUUUUCUCUUAUUUUUCAAAUUGUUUGUUCCACAUUUGUUAAUUUCAUUAUAUAUAAAUGAUUUUGGUGUGUUUAAAUUUUUUUCAUUAAUUACUACAUAUUUUCUACAUUCACAAUGUUUGCCAGCUCGCUAUAUUAUCAACUUAAAUCAAUUAAAUUCAUCAUACAAUGCAUUUCCUUCCAAUUUUUUGUGAUAAACUAAUAGAUAAUUGACUAAAUAAACAUCCUGCAAAGUUUCAAUAAAAAUUUCCAAGUUUUUCUUACAAUUUCCGUGGUUUCCAUGUAAUUUUUAUCGAUAUCGAUAUUAUCCCGAUAUUUCCAUCGAUAUUUCCGUGUUUUCGGACUACCGAUAUUUCCGAUAUUACCGAUAUUUUCUUCAUUGGUCCUUAUUAGACCUACUCUAACUUUCUAAAUAAAACUUAAAUUUUAGGUUCUAAACUUACCUUAACUUGCUCCAACCCUUGGGGCGAAUAUAAGUUAAAACUCAAAACUUAUUUCAGUGCCAAAUUUAACCCAGGAUUUCCUCAUGAUUAGUGGGGCUGGUCCACCAUAUAUGUAUAUAUUUUUUAGUUUAUAUUUAUAAAUUCAUUGAAUUCAACGGUUAAGAUCUAAUUUGAUAAAAUCCAAAGGCUAACGUAAAUUAAAAAGAAAUUCUUUUAUGUGUUUCAUAUUUUUUUUCAUACUAUUUCACAAGUUUCAUGGUGUCGGUUAGUGAUUUUUCAAUAUUUGUCGGAAUCUAAAUAUUUUUAGGUUAAAAUGUUCAUAAAGUUAAAUUAGGAUACUCUACAUAAUUUUUUCUUUUCAAAAAGUUACUUCAAGAAACAAUUAGCUUAAAUUCAUUCUUUAAUAAUAUGGAGCUAAAAUUUUAACCUAGAAGAGUUAGAGCAAAAAAGUUGUUUUUAGGUUAAAAGGUAAAUUUUCUGAACUAAAAAUUUUAGAUUUUAACCCAAAUGUUGAAGAUGGUCUUAGGGGUGGGUAUAUGCACAAAAAGUUUCAAACGUCCAGGGAGGACAAAAGUUGAAAAUUUGGGGAGGCAAGGAUUAGUCACUUUCACAUACUUAAAAAAUAUUUGAUAGUUAAUAAUGCUACUACUUUAAAAUUUUCUUUUAAAUAUGCUUUAAUUAAAAGAAAAAUUGGUCCAAAUACAUUUGGUAAGGCAUCUUUUAAUAAAAUAUACGCACAAAAGACGACCGAGAAAAAAUAACUAGAGAUUAGACAAAAAAAAAAAACAUAAAAAAUAUAAAGACGAAAUUGUUCAAGCACUUUCCUUGCACAAACCAUGUGCGUUCAAAAUGGAAGAAAAUGUUAAUAUAUCUCUAGUUGAGGACUUAAAGAAAGAAAGGUGAAAUUAAGAAUGAAUGCAGCUCCUCCUGAAGCGAGGAAGUUUCCCAGUGCUAGGGGAGGACAGAGUCAGCCGGUUCCUUCCACUCUAUCUCUAUCCAACGAUGAAAAGUAUACUGUAUACAUGAUUUUUUUAAAUGAGUUUUAACGAAACACUUUUGGUAUUGUUCACUUUUAAUGAAAAAUGACAUUUUACCUUUCUUGUUACUAUUCACUUACACAUUUAUUUGUUAUUUUUCAUUAAAACUAAAAGUUUAUGAAGACUUUUCGUUAGUUUUCUUUUUUUUUAAAGCGGAUCACAUACACUAUUUUAAAGCAAGCUAUUUCUCAUUAAUUGACGUAUUUACACGUUUUAUGUACAAAUUUUUUAACAUUUCUAGUUAGUGACCAAUUUCUUUCAAGAAAUUUCCGACUACUUUCAAUCAAGUACCUUUUUAUAAUUCCUAAAAAAUUAAAACAAGUCAGUUUCACACUACAAAAUCAUGUCCUUCACUAUUGGAGAUUGCUUAAGAUUUGGAAUCUAUUUUUCGAAGGCUAUUAGAAGGUCAUAAGAGAGCCCAAAGCUCAGCGUGAAAGCAAGCGAGAAAAAUUUGUGUGGAGGUGGCUAAUCAUGUUAUUUAUACGAGAAUAAUUUUAAUACCAAUAUAGCGGUGAUGACACGUACUUUAAAAUGUAUUUACUAUCAUUAUUAAAAAGAUUUUUUGCGUUUCUUAUAAAUAUAUGUAUAUAGGAAAGUAUAGGUUUAGCAUGAGACUUCCACGUGAGGUGCUUGUAAAUAGUUAGUCAUGCGGUUUGUAUCUAUCAGCUGAUCAAAAUUUACCAGCUUGCCACCCAAACCAACCAAUUAGAAACCAGCAGAAUAAGCCGCAGAAGACGAAGAAGAAAAUGUUAAUGAUCAGCAGCACAUGUACCACAGAGUCCAAUUCAUAGGGAUUGGCAAAAUACCAUGAAUUUGGGUAACCGCGGUUAUGGAUAUGGUUAAUCAUUUAUAAACAAUUAUGAGUAUAGAUAUAACUGUUUAUGCAAUUACCUAAUGGGUAAACGAUUAUACGGGUAUGAACAUAAAUGGUUAUAGGUAAAUAACCUAGCUUACCCGUCCGUCAUAACCGUUGCCUAUCUCUAAUUACGAUCGCGAUGAUGAUGAUGUUAAAAACUUGAAUGAACCCAAUCAACUCCAUCUCUCUGUCUUAGAUCAGGUAGCAGAAGGAGAAUCUUAACUACAAUUGCACCUAAGACUAGAUCAGAGUUUAGUCCUUAUUAGUGGGAGGUAUAUGCACAAAGUUUCAAACGUCCAGGGAGGACAAAAAUUGAAAAUUUGGAGAAACAAGGAUUAGUCACUUUCACAUACUUAAAAAAUAUUUGAUAAUUAAUAAUGCUACUCUUUAAAAUUUUCUUUUAAAUAUUCCUAAUUAAAAGAAAAAUUUGUCCACAGCAAUUUUUAUAAGGUAUCUUUCAAUAAAAUAUACUCACAAACCACGAUCCAGAAAAAUCACUAAAGAUUAGACCAAAAAAAAAACAUAAAAAAUAUAAAGACGAGAUUGCUCAAGCACUUUCCUUGCAGAAACCAUGUGCGUUCAGACGGAAGAAAAUGUUAUAAUAUAUGAUAUCUAGUUGAGGACUUAAAGAAAGAAAGGUGAAAUUAAGAAUGAAUGAAUGGAUGCAGCUCCUCCUCAUGCGUGGAAGUUUCCUGGUGCUAGUGGAGGACAGAGUCAGCCGACUCCUUCCACUCUACACAACAAAGCAAAGUAUAUUUUAUUUUUUAAAGCGGAUUACAUACACACCUUAAAAUCUUUCAAAAUUUUCAACGCAAAUUUAUAUUCAACAAUGUAUGUCAUACAUUGAUGUAUCUCAUAAUUUUUCCAAAUUAGCCAAUAUUCAACUUAGUGAAUAUGCAAUAAUCAAUUUCAAUGGUCAUAUUCUGGCAAGAGAAAAUUUUAUACAUAUAUUAUUAUCAAAAAGAGAAGGGACACAAUUAACAAUGCAUAGGACUCAUCUCUUAAAUUCUUUGGCGCACAUCUAUAUACAAUUGUUAAAUUCAACAAUGUGUCUCAUACAUUGAUGCACCUCAUAAUUUUAAUGAUCUACAACACAUUUGCAAGAGAGAAAUGAUACGCUCCAUCAAUCUAUCUCUGUUUAUGUCAAUACACUAACAAUGGACUUGUAGCUUGUAAGUAUAAAAAAAGAAAGGAAAAUACCCCAAAAUGAGACAAUUUCUUAAUAUUGGGACACAAAUAGGACAAACCGGUCAUGAACAAGUCAUGCACAAAACAGAAAUUACUAAAUACCCACAUGUAAAUACUAAAAAUCAUCAGCCCAUUGCAUCGUUGUUCUCAUUUGGAAGAGAUGGAUGUCGAGAGAGCUCUGUGAGCUCUGGAUUUCUGGAUUGAGCUUAGAUCAUGCGCUCCGAUUUCGAAAAGAGGGAAGUCCAAAGAGAGGCGAGAAGAGUGAGCUAGGUUUUGGGUUGACCUUAUACCUCUGAUUUCAAACAAAGGGAUGCAAGAGAGAGGUGAGAAAAGUGUGCUAGGUUUUGUAUCAUAUUUUCAGUUGUGGCCGGAAAGUUCCAUUUUUCUCGAUGACUAAAACUUCGGCAAGCAUAGUAAGGUAUGGGAUAAAUGGGUUGUUUGUAGGAUGAACUAAUACUUAGAAGUUAAAUUGUGGUUUAUAUUUCAUGUUAGGGCAUAUGGGUUGUAGAAUAAAUUUCAAGUUUUGACGUGCUACAAAACUGGGAUGGAACAAUUUAUCGUUCAAGUGUUCAAUUGUAGAAAUUUGUGAAAAUUUUUCCGUAAUGUGCAUGCGGUGUGCAUGGAUACAUCUUCAUAUAAGAAGCGGAAAUGUUCACUAGUUAUGAUGCACGUAUGUUGUGCCCCCGGAAUUUAGUGAGUAUGACCACCACCUAGUUGGUCUCGGCGUAAAACAAAAUUAAGAAAAAGUUUAGAGGAUGUUAAGGGUCAUGUGUGUCCAUGAAAUAACGACAACGAGUAUCAUGUUUUCCACGUGCACGGUUAAACGGUGGUUGAUAUACGUAACAAGACUUUUCAAGCUGUCACUGUAACCUUAUAUACGUAACAAUUAUGUUUUAAUUGUAUCCACUACACCAAUCUAUUGCCGUUAAAGUUUCUCCCGUUUUGUGCAUAUCCAGUGCAUGUACUGUACAUAUUAUGUGCAUGUGGUGUGCAUAUAGUGUAUAUGAUGCGUAUUUACAUCUUUGAUACUCUUCACAUUAACAUAGUUUACCACUUUUUCUUUUGAUUCAGAGGCAAGCCCUGCAAGUCCGAAAAAAGCGAACGAAUUCGUGAAAAAAAUUCCUUUGAUUAAGUUGGGUUCUUGCAUGCCCAUUCAAACUGCAAUUCUUUGUACUUUGAUAGCUCACUUGUCCGUCCAAGAAAUAAGACUGACAAAUAGGCAAGGCUUUUAUUAUUUUAGUAUUGUUUAUACAUUAUAAAGUACAAGUUAUGGACAAGUAUGUCAUAUCCUACAUGUUAUUUUUAACACUUGAUUUACAAGUCCAGCGGCAUCUUGAAAUCCGCCUCUAUAUCAUAAACCUAGACAUGAAUUAAUACCCCAUGCCCAGGGCAAAGUAAAAAUCUCACAACCAAGCGCCAUAGUCUCACAACCAAGCGCCAUAGUUUGAACAUUCGACACUACAAAAAUACACGAUAGUUCGAUGGCUGAACUGGAAUGGGCGAAAAAUAUGAAUGGCCCGUUUGGACUAACACCGGCUAAACUCAGUGUUCUUGUUUGAACCAUACAAAGAUCAGCAAAACAAAUUUUAUUAGAGCAGGUUAAAAAUUACAGCAAAUUAAGGCCGAAAAACAAAAGGCACAGCCCCAGUUUAAUAAUACAAUCAUCAAAUUUGUAACAACGAGAAAACUAUAGGGGUCUUUGCUUCAAUAGGACUAGGACCAUUCAAAAGUUAAGGGGAAAAAUUAUACGUUGUGUAACAAGCUAAAAGAAAAAAAAAUGAAGAAAAAGCGAGAUGCAUACACAAAGAAAUGAAAUACAAAAUUUCCAAGUACCUUUUUAUUAGCUUCGGUUGCUUCUUUGAACUUUGAGUUCAGUGAGUUAACCUCCUCUGUACUCAGUUGCCGCAUUUCCUCAUCAUGAGAAGGAGCAAUUGGCAUCGGCUGCCUUGAAAGCCUUUUAAAGUGAAAAAUAAGAAACUAUUCUCCAUCAUAGAAAGACAUGGUUUCAAAAAAUAAAAAGUGAUUUGAUUUAUGGAUGAAUACCAGAUGCAGGUCUCCGGGCUACAUUGCCAGCAUUGGAGAAAUUAUUUGCAAGUUGAAAAAUAUUGGAUACAUCAAACAUAACAUUGAUUGGUAGCACUGCUGGAAGAGGGCGUCCCUCCCUAAACCACUCUGAGUAGCUGUUGGAGCAGAAUUAAACUGAGAUUGUAUUUGUGGUCCCCUAAACCCAAGUUUGGGCAGGACGUCGAAGUGACAGCACCACCCUGAGCGGCAUUUGCUGCUCCAGCAGAAUUAUACUGAGGUGGUACUUGCAGUCCCCUGAACCCAAGAUUUCGCAAGGAUGUCAGAGUGACAGCACCACCUUGAAAGUCAAGUGCUGCUGCAGCAGCAGCAGCAGAACUGAACUAAGGCGCAGGAGUCGCUGCAAGAUAUAUCUUAGGUGCAGGUAUUUUAGCCGCAGCCAAGCCAUAUAAGGCUGCCUUCACCAUUUCUGGCGUAAGUUCUCUCUUACUUUGUGCCACAGUGACAAUUCUAAGGGCAUUGUAAAACUCUGCCCGACCAAGGAACCAGUCCGCCUCUGGUCUGCACGUGCCCAUAUCUGCCAAUAAAUAUAAGCAACUAAUAUAAAUUAGAACAGAUCCAAACUUCUGUUACAAAAAGAUAAUGAGAAAGUGCACUCAUAUAGUCAAUAUUUAACAUAUUAUGCCCCCGGUUAUCAUUUUAUGAGAAAAUUUCUUCUGCAAAACAAAUAUACAACUUCAAGAACCUAUUUAUCGAUAUGAUCAUGACCCAAGAACAUUUCCCUUGUAUGUUACAAUCCUAACUAUUCCGUAGUCAUAUAACACAUUUCUAAAGUCUGCUUACCACCUAAGGUCGAAAGGAUACACCAGAAAGUAAAUUAAUGACCGGAUAACAUAACUGUUGUAUAAAUCCUUCAUCUACUUAUUUUCUACCAUUCGAACAUCAAUUCCGCAUUUGUACUAACACGAAAUAAAAAUCUCAGUUUAAAUCAGAGAAUUACAACAUCCCGAGCUCCACAUUAACCACUUCAACUACAAUUAGAUUAAAAAUUCAAAAUCAAUCUGAUUUGGAACACAUUUCCACCAACAUAAAAUCCCGAUCAACCACUAUAAUUACACAAAUAUAAUCAUACACACUACAUAUAUAAAUAUAUAUGCACAAGCAUAUACAUAUAUAGAGAGUGAGAGUACCUGCGCAAGGACCUGUUUGGGGAGACCGGAGCCCUGGAAGAAAGCGACGGCUUCAUUGCCACUAAUCCGAUCAUCGCCGUCCAAACCAGCUCGUCGGAAAUACGCAUCGAAGAGAUCCACGUUCGCCGAUUGGUUUUGUGCCGACGUAAUCGCCACAGUCGGAUUGCGAUUCGCGGAAGAUCAGACCAUGGAACCAAUCGAGAGCGCCGCGCGCUCGGGCUGCCAUACACGUGAGGAGCGCCGGGAAGAAUCAGAAAACCACGAAUUCGAAGGACCAAGGUUUCGAUGCCUUAGAAAACGACGACG